UUUCUCCUUAAACUGCUUUGCUAACACACCACGAGGACUUCUUCAUUAUAACUCCUGCCUUGCAGACAGCCCCUCUGGGUCUCACAUUUGCUUUCCACAGCAGCAAACUGGGAAUAACGAAGAGUCCACCUACCACUGCAGCAGACAUCAAAAAGAGCCCAGUAGGAAGCCAAAGUACACAGAGAUCCAUUCAGAGAGUUUUUGAACAUAAGUGCUCCAAACAGACCUAAAAGAAUAACUGUUUAGGAAACAGCAGGGGAGAGCAGCCUCUGAAAACAUGAAGAAUCCUACUGUGAGAGUCUUUCUUGAUGGAUCAAGAGCUGUAUUUACAAGCAGAGCACAACUGACAAUGCAGGAUCCAGACAACAGAACCUAUGGGACAUAGGAGUGUCAGCUUACUCAACCAUGUUCCCAAAUUCUUGCUCUUCGACAUCACAGAGAAAACAAACGCACAGUCCUGGCAAAUGAACCUGUGGGAUAGAGGAGUACAGGGUCGUGAAUACGUCAGAAAGCUGACUGGACCAUAGUCCAUCUUAUCCUCUGCACUGGGGCUAUUGCAAGUGAUCGAACAUCCUUUGGAACAAUCACAGUUUCAACUGUAAUAACUUUCUCAUAGCUAGCAAUAUUAAGAAUACCAAAGAGACCUAUUUCAUUAUAUUUUUCUUUUAACUUCUCUGCAGUGAUUUAACUUCCCUUUUUUUUUUUUAAUCUCGGCUGUUGAAGGUUUGUUACAAUCUCCUCCUGCAUCCUACCUCCCACAUCUCACAAUCUACUUAAUGACUUCUUUCAUUUAUUUUUCUAGCUCUUCCUACACACAAGAUUAAAAUUCCCUGCUGCAGCAUUUGUUAUCUUCUCUCAUUCUGUUUAGUGUGAUGACCAGAAAGCUGUGUAAGUAUAUGUACUUAGGAUAUCUGAGUAAAGGUAAUUAAUAUAAAGCACAUUCUCAUAUCAUUUACUAGGCAGGGACUAGUUUUUAUGAAGUACUGACCUCCAGGACCUUAUUUCAUAAUAUUAUUUCCAUCCUAACAGGAGAGAUAGUGAUAGUACAUGCACAUAUCCUGGGCAACAAGCAACUCAGAGAACUGAUAUUUGCUGCCCACUGUUGAUUUUAUCUCAGAAGUCAAGUACUCCUAUGCAAAAUUGGGCUAAAAUAAAUUACAUCUGAUGAAUCAUACUGUCAACACCACUUCCCACAAAAAUAUUGUGAAAGUAAUGCUAUUUUAAUAUUAAGUGUCAUCAUGUUGAAAUUCUAAUAUGAAGUUUUUGUGUUUGAGAUCCUAGAUCCAAAUUAACUGUUCUAGAGAGAUGCUCUUGAUGUUCUUUACUGCAGCACCAAUGCCUGCCUCAGACUCACUUGUACUUGGGAGCAUCCCGUGCCUCUGGUAAUACAAUAGGGAAGAGACUGUGACACUGCAGGCUGUUUGGGAAAGCCGCAUGGCAAAAAGGCUAUUUAGGUCUUAUGCACAACAGCUUGGGAAUAAGUGGCUUAAACUACCCAAGGCCACAUAGCCAGUCCUUAAAUUGUGUCUUCUGAAAAUAGAAACAGAAAGGUCUGCUGCUUUGCUAGCACACCUCAAAUUCACUGCUUUCCUGUGGAAUAAACUAAAAUUAAAUUCAAGUAGACACACACACACACACACACACAC